UACGGAGGGCGCAAGCGUUAUCCGGAAUCACUGGGUUUAAAGGGCGCGUAGGCGGCUUGAUAAGUCAGGGGUGAAAGCCCGCAGCUUAACUGCGGAACUGCCUUUGAUACUGUCGAGCUUGAAAGAGGUUGAGGUCAGCGGAACGUGACAUGUAGCGGUGAAAUGCAUAGAUAUGUCACAGAACACCGAUUGCGAAGGCAGCUGGCUGGACCUACUUUGACGCUGAGGCAAGAAAGCGUGGGGAGCGAACAGG
rnacentral:rRNA from 1 species